UACGUAGGGGGCGUAGCGUUGUCCGGAUUUAUUGGGCGUAAAGAGCGUGUAGGCGGCCAGGUAGGUCUGCUGUGAAAACUCGAAGCUCAACCUCGAGACGUCGGCGGAAACCAUCUGGCUAGAGUCCGGAAGAGGAGAGUGGAAUUCCUGGUGUAGCGGUGAAAUGCGCAGAUAUCAGGAAGAACACCCGUGGCGAAGGCGGCUCUCUGGGACGGUACUGACGCUGAGACGCGAAAGCGUGGGGAGCGAACAGG
rnacentral:rRNA from 1 species